rnacentral:rRNA from 1 species
AUUGAACGCUGGCGGCAUGCCUUACACAUGCAAGUCGAACGGCAGCACGGGAGCAAUCCUGGUGGCGAGUGGCGAACGGGUGAGUAAUAUAUCGGAACGUGCCCAGUCGUGGGGGAUAACGCAGCGAAAGCUGUGCUAAUACCGCAUACGAUCUACGGAUGAAAGCGGGGGAUCGCAAGACCUCGCGCGAUUGGAGCGGCCGAUAUCAGAUUAGCUAGUUGGUGGGGUAAAGGCCCACCAAGGCGACGAUCUGUAGCUGGUCUGAGAGGACGACCAGCCACACUGGAACUGAGACACGGUCCAGACUCCUACGGGAGGCAGCAGUGGGGAAUUUUGGACAAUGGGCGCAAGCCUGAUCCAGCAAUGCCGCGUGCAGGAUGAAGGCCUUCGGGUUGUAAACUGCUUUUGUACGGAACGAAACGGCCCUUUCUAAUACAGGGGGCUAAUGACGGUACCGUAAGAAUAAGCACCGGCUAACUACGUGCCAGCCGCCGGGGUAA